UUUUCCGUGCCGGUGCUCUAACCAACUGAGCUAACCGUUCGAGUACUGCCUCGUUAUAAAAUUCUGUUUGCUUUGUUCAACUCUCAGGUUGUGGCUUCAUCUACAGGAUCUACUUUACAGUUGAUAACCUGCUCAACCCCAGUAUUUGCAUAUUAGGAAAUUGACUUGAGAUGUCGCUCUUGUAACAAUAUGUUAUGGUUACGCCGGAGGUCGUGGGUUCAAAUCCCGCAUAGUUCAUAAAGUUUUGUUUUUCAUUUUUAGUUUCAAUUUUAUUUGUGUAUUAAUUUUUCAGUUUCAAUUUUAUUUGUGUAUUAAUCCUAGAAGUGAGGGUUGACACUUUAAAAACAUAACAUAUUGUUGUUAUUGUAUGUUUAUUCUAUAGCAUUACAAUACAUACUAAAAAAAGAAUAUUGAUAUAUAUAGAAUUAUAUUUAAAAACAAACAACUUUAACAAAUAAUAAAGCUAACCAGAAUUUAUCUACAUAUAUAUUUAUACUUUAGUCAUUAAAGUUUCCUAACAUGUUGGAAUAAAUGUUUAUUGAAAA